ensembl:snRNA U6 U6 spliceosomal RNA
GUACUUGCUUCAGCAGCACAUAUACUAAAAUUUGAACAAUACAGAGAAAAUUAGCAUGGCGCCUGCACAAGGAUGACACACAGAUUUGUGAAGCAUUUAAUAUUUUA